AUUGAACGCUGGCGGCAGGCCUAACACAUGCAAGUCGAGCGGAUGAAGGGAGCUUGCUCCUGGAUUCAGCGGCGGACGGGUGAGUAAUGCCUAGGAAUCUGCCUGGUAGUGGGGGAUAACGUCCGGAAACGGGCGCUAAUACCGCAUACGUCCUGAGGGAGAAAGUGGGGGAUCUUCGGACCUCACGCUAUCAGAUGAGCCUAGGUCGGAUUUGCUAGUUGGUGGGGUAAAGGCCUACCAAGCCGACGAUCCGUAACUGGUCUGAGAGGAUGAUCAGUCACACUGGAAGUGAGACACGGUCCAGACUCCUACGGGAGGCAGCAGUGGGGAAUAUUGGACAAUGGGGGAAAGCAUGAUACAGCCAGGCCGCGUGUGUGAAGAAGGUCUUCGGAUUGUAAAGCACUUUAAGUUGGGAGGAAGGGCAGUAAGUUAAUACCUUGCUGAUUUGACGUUACCAACAGAAUAAGCACCGGCUAACUACGUG
rnacentral:rRNA from 1 species